rnacentral:rRNA from 1 species
AACCCUCAACGGUCARUUGGGACUAAGUCRUAACAAGGUAACCGUAGGUGAACCUGCAGAAGGAUCA